UACGAAGGGGGGCUAGCGUUGCUCGGAAUCACUGGGCGUAAAGCGCACGUAGGCGGAUUGUUAAGUCAGGGGUGAAAUCCUGGAGCUCAACUCCAGAACUGCCUUUGAUACUGGCGAUCUCGAGUCCGGGAGAGGUGAGUGGAACUGCGAGUGUAGAGGUGAAAUUCGUAGAUAUUCGCAAGAACACCAGUGGCGAAGGCGGACAUCCUGGACCAACACUGACGCUGAGUGAGCGAAAGCCAGGGGAGCAAACGG
rnacentral:rRNA from 1 species